rnacentral:rRNA from 1 species
CCCUUAGAUGUUCUGGGCCGCACGCGUGCUACACUGAGUGGAUCAGCGGGUCAGGUUGCGCGAAAGUGUUUCCUAAUCUUGAAAUCCGCUCGUGAUGGGGAUUGACGGUUGCAAUUUUCCGUCAUGAACGAGGAAUACCUUGUAAGCGCGGGUCAUCAUCCCGCGCUGAAUACGUCCCUGCCCUUUGUACACACCGCCCGUCGCUCCUACCGAUUGAGUGGUCCGGUGAAAUCUUCGGAUUGAGACUUUGAUUUGUUUACUCAAAACGCUGUUUCAAGAAGUUGAUUAAACCUUACCAUUUAGAGGAAGGUGAAGUCGUAACA